GAACAAUAAAGAAACAUAAGGAUCAAAACAUUCAGUUAUUAUGUCAACAUAACUCUAUAACGAAUAAUAUUCUCAAAAUCUUAAUAAUUAGUAAUAUUAGUUAAGUUUGUCAUAGUGGAUAUAAUUGGAACUUGAUACAUUCUUAUUAUUUUAUUCAUAGAGUUCAAUACCUGUUUGCAUUGCAUUCAAUUGUACUUCAAGAACGGCGACUUUUUCUACAUCCCAGAGCACGAAAAAAUGUGAAUUCAACCACAAUAAUGUGAAAAUAAGCUUUUUUUCCAUUUCCUAAAAAUCCAGCACUUCUAAAGCAAUGGAUAGUAAACUGCCGUCGCCAAGAUUGGAAACCUACCAAUGGGUCAAGAAUCUUUUCUAAGCACUUUAAGGGCUCUGACAUCUUCAAGCACAAAGUCAAGCGCACGCUUCUUGAUGGAGCAGUACCCUCAAUUGGGGAGUAUUGCAUCAAACAGCAAUAAACUAUCCUUCUAAGGAUGUAAUUGAAGUUUGUCUAGAAACUGAAAAGAUGUUUGAAAUACUUUUAAAAUCUACAAAACGGGUUUUGCCGAGAGAUUUCAGCCUGACUCGUAAAAUUAAAAUUUCAUUAUUGAAAAAUAUUGGUUUUUGUAAAAAUUAGGUCUUUCAAUGUCUUUGUGAUCAUAUAUUUUAUUCAUCUCCAGAACCUAAUCAUGUAUUUUCCCUUAUAAAAGCAAUUUCGCGAUGUUAUGCAAGUAAAACUGUAUGACUUGGGAAAGCUAGAAACUGAGACUGUAGAAGAAACCAAGAUUCGUAGUGUCUUCACAAAUUUUAUACUGUUUAAGAAUCAAUAGUUUGAAAAAUUUCAAUAAUAUGUUGAAAAACUUAAUUUUAUUAGUACAUAAUAUUUUUUAGAAUAAAUUAUACUUUAUUGAUUA
rnacentral:lncRNA from 1 species